UACGUAGGGUGCAAGCGUUGUCCGGAAUUAUUGGGCGUAAAGAGCUCGUAGGCGGUCUGUCGCGUCUGCUGUGAAAUCCCGGGGCUCAACCCCGGGCUUGCAGUGGAUACGGGCAGACUAGAGGCAUUCAGGGGAGAACGGAAUUCCUGGUGUAGCGGUGAAAUGCGCAGAUAUCAGGAGGAACACCGGUGGCGAAGGCGGUUCUCUGGGAAUGUCCUGACGCUGAGGAGCGAAAGUGUGGGGAGCGAACAGG
rnacentral:rRNA from 1 species